AGGACGAACGCUGGCGGCGUGCUUAACACAUGCAAGUCGAGCGGAAAGGCCCUUCGGGGUACUCGAGCGGCGAACGGGUGAGUAACACGUGAGUAAUCUGCCCCUAGCUCUGGGAUAGCUCCGGGGAAAACCGGGAUUAAUACCAGAUAUGACCACUAUAGACAUCUGUGGUGGUGGAAAGAUUUCGGCUAGGGAUGAGCUCGCGGCCUAUCAGCUUGUGGUGGGGUAACGCCUACCAAGGCGACGACGGGUA
rnacentral:rRNA from 1 species